rnacentral:rRNA from 1 species
GACACCUACGGGGCGCAGCAGUGAGGAAUAUUGGUCAAUGGGAGAGAUCCUGAACCAGCCAAGCCGCGUGAGGGAAGACGGCCCUAUGGGUUGUAAACCUCUUUUGUCGGAGAACAAAACCCGGGACGUGUCCCGGACUGCGUGUAUCCGAAGAAAAAGCAUCGGCUAACUCCGUGCCAGCAGCCGCGGUAAUACGGAGGAUGCGAGCGUUAUCCGGAUUUAUUGGGUUUAAAGGGUGCGUAGGCGGUCCGUUAAGUCAGCGGUAAAAGCCCGGGGCUCAACCCCGGCGAGCCGUUGAAACUUUC